GAUGUCUACUUGCCAGGUUGUGCCUUGAGGCGUGGCUUCCGGAGCUAACGCGUUAAAUAGACCGCCUGGGGAGUACGGCCGCAAGGUUAAAACUCAAAUGAAUUGACGGGGGCCCGCACAAGCGGUGGAGCAUGUGGUUUAAUUCGAUGCAACGCGAAGAACCUUACCUGGUCUUGACAUCCACAGAACUUUCCAGAGAUGGAUUGGUGCCUUCGGGAACUGACAUACAGGUGCUGCAUGGCUGUCGUCAGCUCGUGUUGUGAAAUGUUGGGUUAAGUCCCGCAACGAGCGCAACCCUUAUCCUUAGGUUGCCAGCGAGUUAGGGCGGGAAACUCUUAGGGAACUGGCCGUGAUCAACUGGAAGAAAGGGGGGAAGAACUCCAGUCCUCCUGGGCCUUACCAGCCAGGCUACCCCCCUGCUACCAUGGGACAUACCAAGAGAAUGCACCUCACCAGAGCGAUCCUACCUCCUAAAGUACGACCUAAUCCGGAAUGGAAUCUGGCACUCCACUUCCUGGAAUCCGAAUCCCUUGUAAUCCUGGAUAACAAUGGCACGGUGAAUAUACUUUCCGGGGCUUGUACACACACCGCCGUCACACCCUGGGGAGUGUUUGUGCGCACCGAAAAUAUAGUAUACUUCAACCUUGCAGGAGAGGCGCUGUACACACAUUUGUGUAUUCAUAGGCUGUGGGUGA
rnacentral:rRNA from 1 species